rnacentral:rRNA from 1 species
UACGAAGGGGGCUAGCGUUGCUCGGAAUUACUGGGCGUAAAGGGCGCGUAGGCGGCCUUCUAAGUCGAACGUGAAAUCCCCGGGCUCAACCCGGGAACUGCGUCCGAGACUGAAAGGCUCGAAUCCGGGAGAGGGAUGUGGAAUUCCAGGUGUAGCGGUGAAAUGCGUAGAUAUCUGGAGGAACAUCGGUGGCGAAGGCGGCAUCCUGGACCGGCAUUGACGCUGAGGAGCGAAAGCUAGGGGAGCAAACGGG